UGUCGGUGUAGAGCAGCCCGGUAGCUCGUCAGGCUCAUAACCUAAAGGACGUGAGUUCAAAUCUCACCACCGCAACCA
rnacentral:tRNA from 1 species